rnacentral:rRNA from 1 species
UACGUAGGGGGCAAGCGUUGUCCGGAAUCAUUGGGCGUAAAGAGCGUGUAGGCGGUUCGGUAAGUCGGCUGUGAAAGUCCAGGGCUCAACCCUGGGAUGCCGGUCGAUACUGCCGGACUAGAGUUCGGAAGAGGCGAGUGGAAUUCCCGGUGUAGCGGUGAAAUGCGCAGAUAUCGGGGGGAACACCUAUGGCGAAGGCAGCUCGCUGGGACGUUACUGACGCUGAGACGCGAAAGCGUGGGGAGCAAACAGG